AGUUUAGCAAAAGUUGUUUAUAGUCUUUCCAUUUUCUGUUUACAAGGUAGGCAUGCUUUUGCCUUUGUUUUGGCUUAGGCACAAAGAAUCAUUAUCCGCAAUUUUCAAUAGUUACUUGCCUCAGAUAGAUGUUGGAGUUGAUUUUUAUAUUCUCUCUCUAUAGCCAUAUCUUUCUUUCAUGUAAAGAUGCCAAGAUGGGAGCAAAUAGUGGCAAUGAAACUUUCGUCCUUCAAAAUUAAAGUUGUGUGUAUUCCAGAAAACAAAGCAUGUCCUCUGCUCAAAAUCCUGUCAUUUAAGGCAAGAAACUGAAAAAUAGACUAAU
rnacentral:misc_RNA from 1 species